rnacentral:misc_RNA from 1 species
AAGGAUCAUUAUCGUGGGGCUUCGGCCCUAUCGAGAUAGAACCCUUGCCUUUUUUGUACCUUCUGUUGCCUCGGCGUCUGCUUCACGGCGGCGCCAACGGGGCCAAAUAAUAAACUCUUUUUUAUCAUGAAAUAGUCUGAGAAAAAAAUAAAAGUUAAAACUUUCAACAACGGAUCUCUUGGUUCUG